rnacentral:lncRNA from 1 species
CUGCAGUUGUCCUUCUGGGUGAUUGGAGUUUGUGAAGAUAAAUGGUAAACUUACACAUUGAUCUUUUUUUAUACUUAGCCAGCACCCACGCUCUUCAUUUUAUUCUAUACUGAAGCAAGUUGUCACUAAAAUAUUGAGGCAAAAUGAUGAAAUUGAUCAACAUGGAGCUGAAAGAAAUCUACCAAAUACUAAAUAUUUAUGAUUGUAACAUCAAUUAAAGAAGGAAAUGACUAAGUGACCAGGAAAGUUCAGCAUCUCUCAGGUGCAAUUGAAAAACUCAACAAAAGCACACGUUGUUUACAAAUUUCACAUAAAACUUGGUGGCCUAGUUGCUUGUUUAGAGGUAAAGUUGUUCUCUCUUCUUUCCUUUCUCUUUAUGCCCCUGUCUUCUCCCUUCUUCCUUCCCUCCUCUUUUCGUUAAUUGAAAAUCUCCACUGCUAUUGGGAGAUAAGAAUGCCAGUCACAAUGUUAUAAUAUAGAGGUAUCUCAGAGAGCUAUGAUUUUAUAUUGUCAUGUGGAAGCAUAG